AUGUUGGUGGUUCAGUGGUAGAGCUCUCACCUUCCAUGUGGGAGAUCCAGGUUUGAUUUCUGACCAAGGUG
rnacentral:tRNA from 1 species